UGGUGGAGUGAUUUGUCUGGUUAAUUCCGUUAACGAACGAGACCUCCGCGUGCUAAAUAGCCCGCGUUACAAUUCGUUGUAGCGUUGGGCUUCUUAGAGGGACUUUUGGGUAAUCAAACCAAAGGAAGUUGGAGGCAAUAACA
rnacentral:rRNA from 1 species